UUUCGAUGGAGAGUUUGAUCCUGGCUCAGGACGAACGCUGGCGGCGUGCUUAACACAUGCAAGUCGAGCGGAAAGGCCACUUCGGUGGUACUCGAGCGG
rnacentral:rRNA from 1 species